UACAGGGGGGGCAAGCGUUGUUCGGAAUUACUGGGCGUAAAGGGCUCGUAGGCGGCCAACUAAGUCAGCCGUGAAAUCCCCAGGCUUAACCUGGGAACUGCGUCUGAUACUGGAUGGCUUGAAUUCGGGAGAGGGAUGCAGAAUUCCAGGUGUAGCGGUGAAAUGCGUAGAUAUCUGGAGGAACACCGGUGGCGAAGGCGGCAUCCUGGACCAACACUGACACUGAGGAGCGAAAGCCAGGGGAGCAAACGGG
rnacentral:rRNA from 1 species